rnacentral:rRNA from 1 species
UACAGAGGGUGCAAGCGUUAAUCGGAAUUACUGGGCGUAAAGCGUGCGUAGACGGUUAUUUAAGUCGGGUGUGAAAUCCCCGGGCUCAACCUGGGAAUUGCAUUCGAUACUGGAUAGCUAGAGUUCGGCAGAGGGAAGUGGAAUUUCCGGUGUAGCGGUGAAAUGCGCAGAUAUCGGAAGGAACAUCAGUGGCGAAAGCGACUUCCUGGACCAGAACUGACGUUCAGGCACGAAAGCGUGGGGAGCAAACAGG